ACUCCUACGGGAGGCAGCAGUGGGGAAUCUUAGACAAUGGGGGAAAGCCCUCGAUCUAGCCAUGCCGCGUGAGCGAUGAAGGCCUUAGGGUUGUAAAGCUCUUUCAGCUGGGAAGAUUAAUGACGGUGACCAGCAGAAGAAGGCCCCGGCUAACUCCGUGCCAGCAGCCGCGGUAAUACGGAGGGGCUAGCGUUGUUCGGAAUUACUGGGCGUAAAGCGCACGUAGGCGGAUUGGUAAGUUGGGGGUGAAAUCCCGGGGCUCAACCCCGGAACUGCCUCCAAAACUCCC
rnacentral:rRNA from 1 species